rnacentral:rRNA from 1 species
UACGUAGGUGGCAAGCGUUGUUCGGAAUUAUUGGGCGUAAAGGGCGCGUAGGCGGUUCGUUAAGUCAGUUGUGAAAGCCCGGGGCUCAACCCCGGAGAGUCGACUGAUACUGGCGGGCUAGAGUACGGAAGAGGUAGCUGGAAUUCCCGGUGUAGCGGUGAAAUGCGUAGAUAUCGAGAGGAACACCUGCGGCGAAGGCGGGUUGCUGGGCUGACACUGACGCUGAUGCGCGAAAGCUAGGGGAGCGAACGGG